GACGAACGCUGGCGGCGUGCUUAACACAUGCAAGUCGAACGGUGAAGCGCCUUCCUUUUUGGUGGGUGUGGAUGAGUGGCGAACGGGUGAGUAACACGUGAGUAACCUGCCCCCUUCUUCUGGAUAACCGCAUGAAAGUGUGGCUAAUACGGGAUAUUCUGGGUCUGUCGCAUGAUGGGUCUGGGAAAGAUAUUGUUUCGGUGGGGGAUGGGCUCGCGGCCUAUCAGCUUGUUGGUGGGGUGAUGGCCUACCAAGGCGGUGACGGGUAGCCGGCCUGAGAGGGUGGGCGGUCACACUGGGGCUGGGGCACGGGCCAGACUCCUAAGGGAAGCAGGAGGGGGGGAUAAUGGACAAUGGGGGCAAGGCUGGUGCAGGGGAGGCGCGGGGGGGAUGGAGGCCUUCGGGUUGUGAACCUCUUUCGCCAGUGAAGCAGGCCUGCCUCGUUUGUGGGUGGGUUGACGGUAGCUGGAUAAGAAGCGCCGGCUAACUACGUG
rnacentral:rRNA from 1 species